GCAGCUAACGCAUUAAGCACUCCGCCUGGGGAGUACGACCGCAAGGUUGAAACUCAAAGGAAUUGACGGGGGCCCGCACAAGCGGUGGAGCAUGUGGUUUAAUUCGAAGCAACGCGAAGAACCUUACCAGGUCUUGACAUCCUUUGACCACUCUAGAGAUAGAGCUUCCCCUUCGGGGGCAAAGUGACAGGUGGUGCAUGGUUGUCGUCAGCUCGUGUCGUGAGAUGUUGGGUUAAGUCCCGCAACGAGCGCAACCCUUAUUGUUAGUUGCCAUCAUUCAGUUGGGCACUCUAGCAAGACUGCCGGUGACAAACCGGAGGAAGGUGGGGAUGACGUCAAAUCAUCAUGCCCCUUAUGACCUGGGCUACACACGUGCUACAAUGGGAAGUACAACGAGUUGCGAAGUCGCGAGGCUAAGCUAAUCUCUUAAAGCUUCUCUCAGUUCGGAUUGCAGGCUGCAACUCGCCUGCAUGAAGCCGGAAUCGCUAGUAAUCGCGGAUCAGCACGCCGCGGUGAAUACGUUCCCGGGCCUU
rnacentral:rRNA from 1 species